GACAAACGCUGGCGGCGUGCCUAACACAUGCAAGUCGUACGAGAAAGGGUCCUUCGGGGCCUGAGUAAAGUGGCGCACGGGUGAGUAACGCGUGGAUAAUCUGCCCUUCAGUUGGGAAUAACUCAUCGAAAGGUGGGCUAAUACCGAAUAAUGCUGUGAGACCUCGGUUGAUCAGCCAAAGAGAGCCUCUGCUUGCAAGCCCUCGCUGAAGGAUGAGUCCGCGUACCAUUAGCUAGUUGGUAGGGUAAUGGCCUACCAAGGCGACGAUGGUUAGCUGGUCUGAGAGGAUGAUCAGCCACACUGGAACUGAGACACGGUCCAGACUCCUAUGGGAGGCAGCAGUGAGGAAUCUUGCGCAAUGGGGGCAACCCUGACGCAGCAACGCCGCGUGAGUGAGGAAGGUCUUCGGAUCGUAAAGCUCUGUCGGAUGGAAAGAACCGCAUAGGGGUAAACAGCCCCUGUGUCUGACGGUACCAUCAAAGGAAGCACCGGCUAACUCCGCGCCAGCCGCCGCAGUAACAC
rnacentral:rRNA from 1 species